GUGGAUUAGAUACCCUGGUAGUCCACGCCGUAAACUAUGGAUGCUAGCUGUAUUCGGUAUCGACCCCGGAUGUAGCGAAGCUAACGCGUUAAGCAUCCCGCCUGUGGAGUACGGUCGCAAGACUAAAACAUAAAGGAAUUGACGGGGACCCGCACAAGCGGUGGAGCGUGUUGUUUAAUUCGAUGGUAAACGAAGAACCUUACCCAGGCUUGACAUCCUGCUAAUUUCUCCGAAAGGAGAAAGUGCCUUCGGGCCGCAGUGACAGGUGUUGCAUGGCCGUCGUCAACU
rnacentral:rRNA from 1 species